rnacentral:tRNA from 2 species
AGGGGUAUAGCUCAGUUGGUAGAGCGGCGGUCUCCAAAACCGCAAGUCGCAGGUUCAAGUCCUGCUGCCCCUG